rnacentral:rRNA from 1 species
CCAGACUCCUACGGGAGGCAGCAGUGGGGAAUAUUGCACAAUGGGCGGAAGCCUGAUGCAGCAACGCCGCGUGCGGGAUGACGGCCUUCGGGUUGUAAACCGCUUUCGCCUGUGACGAAGCGUGAAUGGCGGUAAUGGGUAAAGAAGCACCGGCUAACUACGUGCCAGCAGCCGCGGUGAUACGUAGGGUGCGAGCGUUGUCCGGAUUUAUUGGGCGUAAAGGGCUCGUAGGUGGUUGAUCGCGUCGGAAGUGUAAUCUUGGGGCUUAACCCUGAGCGUGCUUUCGAUACGGGUUGACUUGAGGAAGGUAGGGGAGAAUGGAAUUCCUGGUGGAGCGGUGGAAUGCGCAGAUAUCAGGAGGAACACCAGUGGCGAAGGCGGUUCUCUGGGCCUUUCCUGACGCUGAGGAGCGAAAGCGUGGGGAGCGAACAGGCUUAGAUACCCUGGUAGUCCACGCUGUAAACGGUGGGUACUAGGUGUGGGGUCCAUUCCACGGGUUCCGUGCCGUAGCUAACGCUUUAAGUACCCCGCCUGGGGAGUACGGCCGCAAGGCUAAAACUCAAAGGAAUUGACGGGGGCCCGCACAAG